CAAGGCUGAGGUGUGAUGACGAGGCACUACGGUGCUGAAGUAACAAAUGCCCUGCUUCCAGGAAAAGCCUCUAAGCAUCAGGUAACAUCAAAUCGUACCCCAAACCGACACAGGUGGUCAGGUAGAGAAUACCAAGGCGCUUGAGAGAACUCGGGUGAAGGAACUAGGCAAAAUGGUGCCGUAACUUCGGGAGAAGGCACGCUGGUGUGUAGGUGAAGUCCCUGCGGAUGGAGCUGAGACCAGUCGAAGAUACCAGCUGGCUGCAACUGUUUAUUAAAAACACAGCACUGUGCAAACACGAAAGUGGACGUAUACGGUGUGACGCCUGCCCGGUGCCGGAAGGUUAAUUGAUGGGGUUAUCCGUAAGGAGAAGCUCUUGAUCGAAGCCCCGGUAAACGGCGGCCGUAACUAUAACGGUCCUAAGGUAGCGAAAUUCCUUGUCGGGUAAGUUCCGACCUGCACGAAUGGCGUAAUGAUGGCCAGGCUGUCUCCACCCGAGACUCAGUGAAAUUGAACUCGCUGUGAAGAUGCAGUGUACCCGCGGCAAGACGGAAAGACCCCGUGAACCUUUACUAUAGCUUGACACUGAACAUUGAGCCUUGAUGUGUAGGAUAGGUGGGAGGCUUUGAAGCGUGGACGCCAGUCUGCGUGGAGCCAACCUUGAAAUACCACCCUUUAAUGUUUGAUGUUCUAACGUUGGCCCCUGACCGGGGUUGCGGACAGUGUCUGGUGGGUAGUUUGACUGGGGCGGUCUCCUCCCAAAGCGUAACGGAGGAGCACGAAGGUUAGCUAAUCCUGGUCGGACAUCAGGAGGUUAGUGCAAUGGCAUAAGCUAGCUUGACUGCGAGCGUGACGGCGCGAGCAGGUGCGAAAGCAGGUCAUAGUGAUCCGGUGGUUCUGAAUGGAAGGGCCAUCGCUCAACGGAUAAAAGGUACUCCGGGGAUAACAGGCUGAUACCGCCCAAGAGUUCAUAUCGACGGCGGUGUUUGGCACCUCGAUGUCGGCUCAUCACAUCCUGGGGCUGAAGUAGGUCCCAAGGGUAUGGCUGUUCGCCAUUUAAAGUGGUACGCGAGCUGGGUUUAGAACGUCGUGAGACAGUUCGGUCCCUAUCUGCCGUGGGCGCUGGAGAAUUGAGGGGGGCUGCUCCUAGUACGAGAGGACCGGAGUGGACGCAUCACUGGUGUUCGGGUUGUCAUGCCAAUGGCACUGCCCGGUAGCUAAAUGCGGAAGAGAUAAGUGCUGAAAGCAUCUAAGCACGAAACUUGCCCCGAGAUGAGUUCUCCCUGAGACUAUAAGUCUCCUGAAGGAACGUUGAAGACGACGACGUUGAUAGGCCGGGUGUGUAAGCGCAGCGAUGCGUUGAGCUAACCGGUACUAAUGAACCGUGAGGCUUAACCUU
rnacentral:rRNA from 1 species